ACUAUGACUCAGUCACAAAUGGAACUUGGCUCUCUAUAUAAUGUGUGAUUUUUCUGCUUGUUUCAUUAGUUUGUCAGCCAGAAAUAAGAACACAUUUUCUCACAAAUAACAUAUUAAUGGCUCCCUUGAUCUUUUUCUGUAAUUAAACACCCAGGAUGUUUUAUGGACUGCUUUCUGAUUUAGGAGACACAAAGAGGUUUGGCAGUACAUCUGGAAGUACCUGGAUGGCAUUGGAGUUGACAUACAACAAACCUGAAUAGUUAAAAAACUUCAGCUGGGAAAAUGAGUGAAAUAUAGUGCAAGAACAAAGGUCUGUCUGUGAGUGCAGUGAGAGUUAUUAUCACAGAGAGUUUUAAAGGCCAUUUUGCAAACUUGAAUUGUCACUUAAUCUACAAUUAACACUUGGCAGAAAGUGCUUCAGCCUUUAAGUUGCAUGUUUUAGAAGUAAUUUAGUGAUGGCCAAAAAAGCAACGUUGAAGUUUGGGGGUUAUUUUCACCAGAGGAAAUACAAAGGCUGUUUCUGCUUGAAAGGACACAUCAGCCUAAUAAAGCAGAACCAAAGACUGGAUCAGUCAUGGUAUGAAGAAUUGAGUUCUGUAGGAUGCAAAUUACCAGAAUAUCAGCAGUCUGAUUUGAUGUAAAUUAAAUGAAAAUAGGGGUAAAGAUAGGAGUACUGAAAUACCUACAAUAGCAAUGAAAAACACUGGCUUGACUUUUAUUUCCAUAGGUAAAAUCUUCCUAUUUAAAGAAAAAAGUUGAUAAUUGAAAUUGCUUGUGUCACAGCUUUGUGAAUAAGCUGUCUUGUACAUGUCUUUUGUACUAGAUGGUAAGAUGCAGAUGGCAAAUUCUUUUUUUAAUGCCUAUUUGAUUUCAGUGUGUGUUUCUGUUGUAAGCUCAUGGCCAGCAUUGUAUCAGUGUUGGAAAACGGGCUUCUCAGGUGCUUACAAGGAAUUUCAAUAUAAGGAAACUGCUUCUAGAAAAAUACUCAAAUAAAAUAAACUAAUUGGUGUCUUAAG
rnacentral:lncRNA from 1 species